GUCGACCGCGUGGGGAUUACGGCCGCAAGCUUAAAACUUAAAUGAAUUGACGGGGGCCCGCACAAGCGGUGGAGCAUGUGGUUUAAUUCGAUGCAACGCGAAGAACCUUACCUACUCUUGACAUCCAGAGAACUUAGCAGAGAUGCUUUGGUGCCUUCGGGAACUCUGAGACAGGUGCUGCAUGGCUGUCGUCAGCUCGUGUUGUGAAAUGUUGGGUUAAGUCCCGCAACGAGCGCAACCCUUAUCCUUUGUUGCCAGCGAUUCGGUCGGGAACUCAAAGGAGACUGCCAGUGAUAAACUGGAGGAAGGUGGGGAUGACGUCAAGUCAUCAUGGCCCUUACGAGUAGGGCUACACACGUGCUACAAUGGCAUAUACAAAGAGAAGCGACCUCGCGAGAGCAAGCGGACCUCAUAAAGUAUGUCGUAGUCCGGAUUGGAGUCUGCAACUCGACUCCAUGAAGUCGGAAUCGCUAGUAAUCGUGGAUCAGAAUGCCACGGUGAAUACGUUCCCGGGCCUUGUACACACCGCCCGUCACACCAUGGGAGUGGGUUGCAAAAGAAGUAGUUAGCUUAACCUUCGGGAGGGCGCUUACCACUUUG
rnacentral:rRNA from 1 species